CUUCCUUGCAGAAAAUUUAGGCAGAUAGGAAACUUUUUAUGGGGACACUCCCAGCUCUACCUGAAUUGCGAGGACCUUCAUGCACAGCAGAUGCUUUGCCACUGAACCAGGGCCCUUCCACAUAGUUCUCAAGUGCUGUCUCCAUGAUAUGCGAUAAAUGUGCAAAUGCCCAACAUUCCUUCCUCUGUAGAAGUUCAGAAAAGUUCUACGCAGUGACUAAACCACACGGGUUUGGGGUUUAUUAUGCAGAUGGAUUCCACACUCUUCUGUUUUUCACCCCCCUCCCUUUUAUCCACUUUUUGUGGAUAAAAUGUUUUGAAUUAGAAUAGCUUACUCAAGGUCACUGAAGGCAUAUGGUCCUGCUCAAAACUUUAAACAAAACAUUAGUUUUUACAACCCUUUGUAAUUUGGUAUUGUAUACAACACGGUCAUCGACGGGCUCACUGUAAUCUUUUUCAGUGGGUGACAGAAAUAUGAGAGGCAAAUUUAUAAGCCAUUUAGUGAAGCAUUUAAUCAAUUUCAUGCAUAGGAAAUAACUCCAAUUGCUUUGCUUUAUCAAUCUUCCUUUUAUUCCCCCACCCCGCCAUCCUGCAGAAAUGCUGUUGUCGUGCUUUCCAGAUAUACGGAAAAGCUGGAACAAUUGACGACGGAUGCAGACUCUUGCAGCGCAUCAGGAAACUUCUGAGGACCAACUUAGUUUGCCAUUCAUUGCCAGCUUCAAGAAUCCCAUGUUUUUGGAAACUGUGAACAAGUUUCCAGGGAGGGUGCAGGGAGGAAGAAUUUUGAACAUUUGCAGAGAGCAGCACAGCGCCAUAGUUAUUUAUUAAACCCUCCUAGCCUAGAAUGACCUCCUGACAUUGCACAGAGGAGCAUUUCCUAAAGUAUCCACAAUGGCUCAAACAUAUAUAGGUGAUCUAGGUAGCUCUGCCGGGGUGCCAAAAUUAGGAAGGGGCCAUAUCCCAAAGGCAGAACAUAUGUUUGGCAUCCAGAAAGUCUCCACUCCAGGCUCCAUGAUCCUGAUUUAAAUCAUGGGCAAGGGAGGGGGGAAUUUCUGUUGAGAGCUGCAUUCCCUCAGAGGUAAUCUAUUGGUAAGAGCAGGAGGCAAAAAAUGGAGCCAGACCUAAAUAUACCAUCCUCCCUCUCCCCAGGACUUUUUCUCCUCUCUCUUUCCCACCCAGGGAAGGGACAAAUUUCUCUUGCUGGAGGUCUCAAAUGAUUGCUUGCAGAGACCUUAUAUAUUAACAAAUAAAUUUACACCAUGUGCAACAAUGGCUCUUAUUCUUUAUUAUGCUGUAUUCAUUCAUUCAUUCUUUUAUUCUUCAUUUAACCUUUUCAGCGUGGGUGGUGCUGUGGUCUAAACCACAGAGCCUAGGCCUUCCCAAUUGGAAGGUCGGCGCUUCAAAUCCCCACGACGGGGUGAGCUCCCAUUGCUCAGUCCUGGCUCCUGCCAACCUAGCAGUUCGAAAGCAAGUCAAAGUACAAGUAGAUAAAUAGGUACUGCUCUGGCGGGAAGGUAAACAGCGUUUCCGUGCGCUGCUCUGGUUUGCCAGAAGUGGCUUAGUCAUGCUGGCCACAUGACCCGGAAGCUGUCUGUGGACAAACGCCGGCUCCCUCGGCCUAUAGAGCGAGAUGAUCGUGCAACCUCAGAGUCGUCCGCAACUGGACCUAACGGUCAGGGGUACCUUUACCUUUUACCACAUGGCUCCAGAAAUCUGGGCUCCCAUAAUAAUAGAAUGUUUGACAAAUGCGAAG
rnacentral:lncRNA from 1 species